GCUUUUUGAUUGUUUAACAGGGACCAUAGUGUUCGUGUGUGUAUCAAUAACAGCAGGUAUGUCAUGUUUGGUAUGUGUGUGAUCACUAUUGAAUUUCCUAAGGGUUGGUAUAAUGUAAAGUUGAGUACGAUGUAUUACAUGCAUGUUACCAAAUUCCUUAACAAAGUUCUAACUUAACCUUAUGCAAAGUUUGCAAAGCACAUAACUCAGAGACCAGAAUGUUAAUUAGUGUCAGAGGAGGAGAAUACAGUUUACACCCUGCCCCAAGAUCCUGCUGAUUGGAGCAAACACUUUGGGGUCAGCCCAACUGGAAAGGGUUAAAACCCCCUGACACAAAAGAAACUCUGAGUCUCAUCCACAACAUCUUCCAAGAGUCUCAUCCUAUCCAUCCUUGAGAGAGUCCAACACAUCUUUGGAGUCUCAUCCAACACACCUCUGCAAGAGUCUCAUCCAAUCCAUCUUCCAAGAGUCUCAUCCACUACAUCUCUGCAAGAGUCUCCAUCCACAUCUGAAGGAAGUCUCAUCAACCAAGAGCUUUAGAAGUUCAUCACAAGGAGAUCACGCUUGCUCCGAGACUGCAUCCAGACUGGUUCUUGCAAAGCCUCCAACUCUCGCCUUCGCACCGCUGUGAACCAUUCUUCAAAGUUUUGCAACCCGCCUAUGAGACUCCGCCGGGUUCGCGCCUCACUCUGUUUAUCUUCCUCAUUGGUCUUUCGAGACGCUACAUAAGGCCAACCAGACCGCCGACCAAUCAACAUCGCCGGAAACGCCACGAGGGAAUCCCUGGCAACACAAACGCAAGUGGAGAGAUAUGCUGAUCUAAGGCAGCACGGUGGUGCAGCAGGUGGUAUUGCUGCCUCACAGCUCUUUCUGUUUGGAGUGUCUGUGCAUGUUCUCCCCAGGGUGUAUUCCCAGUUCACACCCAGUGUUCUCAGGAUUGGCUCCGGAUCCACCAUGACUCUGGCCAGGAGAUUACUGAUGAUGAAUGAUAUUAUGGCAGUUCAACAGCAGGUUACCACAGUGGUGUCGCACACAGGAUAUAGUUCUGGCACAUGGACCACACGCAUCUGUGACUGCUGCUCUGAUAUGAGCACUUGGCUCAUGCUGUGAUGACUGCUGUACUGUGUGUUUCUGCUACACCUGUGCCUGGUGCCAAAUGGCACGUGAAAUUAAGAUUCGUGCUCGAGCUGGCACUCGUGCCACUGUGAUCACUCAGCAGGUUAUAGGCAAUAGCCUUUUGAGCUGAUCUGCUAAUGUCCUACAUAUUUUGGUGGAGAAUACAUCAGCUUAAUCUAAUUGAGCUAAAUUUUCCCUACAAUGAAUAUAGACGACCGUUAUAAACAAUUGUCCAAACUCCCUAGGGAGGUAAAAGGGUCUAAAUGACAAGGACAGAAGUUCAGUAU